GUUUAAGUACAUCGCAUUUAGUUGAAGCUGCAGGGGAGUGAGGGAGAGGAGGAUAGGAAGCAGGAAAGCGGGAGAGCUCGAGGGACAAGGGGGCUCGGUGUGUUUACACCAGGCACGGGCUACGAGCGUCCAUCCCGGCCCCUGGCUUGCGCUCCCGAAGAGGAGAGCAAGGCUGUUCUGGGAUCCGGCCGUCGUGCGGCAAGAGGCUUGUCUGUCCGGGUUGCCGGAACCAGGAGAACCCAGAGGGAAACCGAGGGAAAGGAGCGGCGCGUUUUACUAGAGAGAGCGCGAGCGGAAGAGGCGAGAGCAGGAGCGCGCGAGGGAGCAUCGAGCGCAGCGGAGACAUGAGGACCUACUGGCUGCACAGCGUCUGGGUGCUGGGCUUUUUCCUGUCCCUCUUCUCAUUGCAAGAAAAUAUUUUAUUCCCCUACCUUCCUGAAGGAGGUGUACAUUCCAUCCACAUAUGACUUGGAGUGGGCUCAAAGUUUGUUAAAUAAUGACUUGGGGUGAGUGAGGAGGGGCAGCUGUCAAGGGAACAGAUCAAUUAGCCAAUU
ensembl:lncRNA LINC03051 long intergenic non-protein coding RNA 3051